AUAAGACAGAAGGACACACUGUAAUAUAUUCUGCAUUGUGAACUGUACAUGACGUCCUGGAAUACCAUUGAUGCUGUGCUCAUAAAAACCGGGGAUCUAAAUUUUUAAUUUUUGACGACCCCCCAGUCAGGUAGAAUGAACAGAAUGGUGUGAGGAAACAGCAUGGUUCACUGAGAGGUUUCCUGGUGUAUCUGAUAAAUGAGCUGAGAAGAGGAAGAGAAAUGGAGAGUGGGGGAAAAUGGGCACAGCGGAGAACCUAAGUGUUCAUCACAGAGUCAGGAAAGAGCUACUCGGCAUGGAGGAGGUGCAGCUGCUUGAAAACAGGAGGAUGAAGAGCAUAUAUGGGAACAUUUAGAAAAAAAUAAAAUUGAAGAGCCAUCUUGAUGGUAAUUUAAACUUUGAACUGUGGAUAUUAUAGAAAGCCUGUAUGGUUAGGAGAGGAUCACUCCAGCAAUAAAUAAAUAAAUAAAUAUUUGAAAAAACCAACAAUGAUUGCCUUGAGAAUUAAUGUUAAAAAAAUCACCCUGAAUCUGAAUUUUAAAGUCUCUGCUACUAUCAGAGGU